GUCUGUAUGAAGCUGUAUAGAGUCUAGCCUGCCCACUGAUAAAAAUUAAAGGGCCGCGGUAUUCUGACCGUGCGAAGGUAGCAUAAUCAUUAGUCUUUUAAUUGAAGGCUUGUAUGAAUGGUUGGACGAAAAAUAAUCUGCCUCCUGGUUGAAAUUUGAAUUUAAUUUUUAAGUGAAAAAGCUUAAAUAUUAUAAAAAGACGAUAAGACCCUAUAAAUCUUUAUAUUAUUAUAAAAUUUUAAAUUGAUUAUAAGUUAAAUACCUUAAAAUUUUUUGUUAAUAUUUUGUUGGGGCAACAUAGAUAGAAAAUUUAUCUGUCUAAAAAGAUUACAGAAUUGUUUGAGUGAAGGCUAGUAAGAUCCUUUAUAAAGAUUUUAAGAUUAAGUUACUUUAGGGAUAACAGCGUUAUCUUAUUUGAGAGUUCUUAUCGAAAAUAAGGUUUGCGACCUCGAUGUUGAAUUAAAAUUUCUUUAUGGUGCAGCCGCUAUAGGAGAAAGUCUGUUCGACUUUUAAAAUUUU
rnacentral:rRNA from 1 species